GGGGAGGGGCUGGAGGCCGGGCCCGCCGAGCCGCAGUCCGGUGGCUCGACAUAUGAGGAGCCGGCCAGCCCACCCCCACGGCUAAGCGAGCGCACGGUGCGGCUGCGGGGGAAGCGCAAGCGGGCCGUGGACGACAUGUUCGCGGAGAUGUGCCGCCGCAGUGAGGAGCACAAGGCCAUCCAGCGUGCCCGCCUGGAGCAGGAGGAGCGGCUCAUGGAGCGCUUCCUGGAGCAUGAGAAGACCCAGCGGGAGCAGGACCGGCAGCUCCUGGAGCGCCUGGUCAGUGCCAUCCUCAGCCAGUCCCAGCCGGCCUGCCCCUGCCAGCGUCUGGGCAUGGAGUGAGGCCGGCCCCUCUCCAGGAUCUUCUCCGGGGCGACAGACAGUCCCAACCGUUGGGGUGCUGGCUGUACUGCCCAGGGCCCCGUGGACAGCUGCGUCCUGGGCCUGGCUUGCGCGGGGGGGGUGUCGUUGUGUCAUGCAGGGGUUGGUGUUGGGCUUUGUUUCUGUAGCGUGGGGUUAAUGGCAUUGUGUAGCACAAGGCAAUCACAGGUGAAACACUGAUGGGUGCAGAGCAGCUGGAGAGGCCUCACAAGAGUACUGUACUUUCUGAUAUGCCACAUCACUUCCCCCCCAGAAAACAGCUCCUGGGAAUGUUGGUGCGCCUUAUAUGUGAGAAAUACGGCAAGGAAAGAGCUUUUUUCCCCCCCUUCAGUCUGCCUUUCAGAUCAAGGGGCGCAUUAUAUCCCAGGGUGUGUUGUAUGUGAGAAAGUACAGUAUCUUUUCCAGCAGUCCCCAGCCUGCCUGCCUCUUCUGUCCUGUUUCUUAACCUGGGUGUCUUAGUUUCCUUAAUAAAUUUAGAGGGUUUAUUCUCC